rnacentral:ncRNA from 1 species
CCUGCGCUUCCAUUUCACGGUCAGACAGGCCACCGCAGAUCUGGAUAAUACGGUCAGACAGCGUCGAUUUACCGUGGUCGAUGUGAGCUAUGAUUGAAAAGUUACGUAUGUUCUUCAUAUAGUGUAAUUAUUGUGCCUUACGCCUGCCUGAGCAGGCUCUGAGAAGUCGCUGAUCUGAGCUUAACGUCUGUUUAAGUGAAACGCCGCAUUCUACACUACAUCGCCGAGGCGAGGAAAUGUUCAUAGAGCAAGGAUAGCGGGAACUGGAAACGGCAUCGCUUUUCUUAUGUUAAACGUCGUGAAAGAAGCAUGAUGCCCGAUGGCGCAAGCUUAUCGGGCCUACCGGGUCUGCCGAUCGUUUGUAGGCCUGAUAAGCGCAGCGCCAUCAGGCAAAGGUAUCACUGCCGGGUUUCGACGCGAAUAAGAUCGGGCGGGAGAGCAACAUUCAGAAUGACCGGCUGCCAGGCUUCACGUUCAGCAAGCUUCCGGGAAUAUCCGCGGGCGAUCAGGAAUCCCCCCACGCCACCCAGCACAGCGCCGCUCAAGGCCGCAAGGUCGGAGCCAAACAGCACCUGGAACAGCGCCGCGAAAAGAAAGAGCCCCGCCAGCGGGGACAUGUAAACCAGCAUAGCCGAUCCCAGCAGGCUCCCCUCGGCAAUGCCCAGUUCAACUUUUUGACCAGGAGCCAGGGGCUCAUCGCUGGGCACCACGAUAGUGUGCGUGGUCUGCGGUCCAAGUUUAUUCAGCACGCGGCUCCCACACCCGGCCCGGGAAGCACAGCUGCUACACGAUGCUUUCACAUCACAGCUGACCGUCGCCAGACCAUUUUGCCAGGAGACCACUGUCGCCCACUCUUUGAUCAUUGUGCUGCCCUGAACUUGAUAUUAUCCGCGAUACG